GGAACAGCACCAUGAUCAUCUAGUCAGACAGGAACAGGAACAGCACCACGAUCAUCUAGUCAGACAGGAACAGGAACAGCACCAUGAUCAUCUAGUCAGACAGGAACAGGAACAGCACCAUGAUCAUCUAGUCAGACAGGAACAGCACCACGAUCGUCUAGUCAGACAGGAACAGCACCAUGAUCAUCUAGUCAGACAGGAACAGGAACAGCACCAUGAUCAUCUAGUCAGACAGGAACAGCACCAUGAUCAUCUAGUCAGACAGGGACAGGAACAGCACCAUGAUCAUCUAGUCAGACAGGAACAGGAACAGCACCAUGAUCCAUGACUUACUGCAGGCUGAGGAAUGAAGGUCAAGAAAUGAAGGCUUAAUGUCUGCCCAUCUGCACAACAUGCUCUAAAUAACGAUGACCUCAAACGUGUGUCUUUGUAAAAGGUCGAGAAGAUUUCCACCAGGUCUCAGAUGGGGGAAAAAUGGGGGAAAAAUACUUACAAUAAAGAAACAUAUGAAGACAGAGACAG
rnacentral:lncRNA from 1 species